rnacentral:rRNA from 1 species
GCCCAAAAUCUAGCCUACACACAUUCGCAUGACCCCCCUUACCCCUAGCCUCUAAACAAAUCAUUUUAACAUUAUAGUACAGGCGAUCGAAAAAUUUCUAAGCGCUUCAGACAAAGUACCGCAAGGGAAAGAUGAAAUAGAAAUGAAAUAAUCUUAAAGCCCUAAUCAGCAGAGAUAACCUCUCGUACCUUUUGCAUCAUGGUCUAGCCAGUCUACUCAAGCAAAAUAAAACUUUUAGUUUGCCCUCCCGAAACUAAGUGAGCUACUUCAGAACAGUCCUAUGGGACCAACCCAUCUCUGUUGCAAAAGAGUGGGAAGAUUCUUAAGUAGAGGUGAUAAGCCUACCGAACUUAGAGAUAGCUGGUUGUUCAGGAAAAGAGUCUUAGCUCUACCUUAAGCUCUCUCUAUUAAACUAAGAAAUCCCAAAGCUUAAGAGCUAUUCAAAUAAGGCACAGCUUAUUUGAAACAGGAAACAACCUCUAACACCGGGUGAAUUAUAGUAAUCUCAAUAAAGUGGGCCUAAAAGCAGCCACCUUUCAAAAAGCGUUAAAGCUUAACUAUAAAUUACUAAUAAUACCUAAAAUAUUAAUUAACCCUUCAUUCCUACUGAACUAUUUUAUAUCCCUAUAAAAGCAAUUAUGCUAGAACUAGUAACAAGAAAUUGAUUUUCUCCUAAAUGUAAGUAUAAACCAAAAUGGACCAUCUGUUGGUGAUUAACGCAAAUGCAAAAUCUAUAGCAACAUAACUAGAAAACCCUAUAACUACAAACGUUAACCUUACACUAGAACAUUCCAGGAAAGAUUAAAAGAGAAAGAAGGAACUCGGCAAAUUUUAGCCUCGCCUGUUUACCAAAAACAUCGCCUCUUGAUAAAACAUAAGAGGUCCAGCCUGCCCAGUGACAAAGUUCAACGGCCGCGGUACCCUAACCGUGCGAAGGUAGCAUAAUCACUUGUCCUUUAAAUAGGGACUUGUAUCAACGGCACCACGAGGGCUAUACUGUCUCCUUUCUCCAAUCAGUGAAACUGAUCUCCCCGUGAAGAAGCGGGGAUUAUAAUAUAAGACGAGAAGACCCCAUGGAGCUUUAAACUCAUCAUACACCUCUAUGCCCUAUAUCAACUUACACAAGAAACCUGUAUGCUAGUUUUAGGUUGGGGGGACCACGGAGUAUAAUUAAACCUCCAUAACAAAUGGGCUAACACCCUUAUCUACGAGAUACACCUCUAAGAAUUACUAAACUAAUGUUUAAUGACCCAAUUAUUUGAUCAAUGAACCAAGUUACCCUGGGGAUAACAGCGCAAUCUACUUCAAGAGCCCCUAUCGACAAGUAGGUUUACGACCUCGAUGUUGGAUCAGGGUAUCCUAGUGGUGCAGCCGCUACUAAUGGUUCGUUUGUUCAACGAUUAAAACCCUACGUGAUCUGAGUUCAGACCGGAGUAAUCCAGGUCGGUUUCUAUCUAUAAAGUGCUUCCCCUAGUACGAAAGGACCGGGGCAACAUGGCCAAUGUUUUUAAACAAGCCAUAUUCUCUCACUAAUGAAAUAAUCUUAAUUGGACAAGACCUAUUAUAUAGUUCUAAAUCAGAACAU